rnacentral:rRNA from 1 species
UGGCCUUUAUGCUUAGGGCUACACACGUGCUACAAUGGGUGGUACAAAGAGAAGCCAACUCGCGAGAGCGCGCCAAUCUCAAAAAGCCAUCCUCAGUUCGGAUUGGAGUCUGCAACUCGACUCCAUGAAGUUGGAAUCGCUAGUAAUCGCGGAUCAGCAUGCCGCGGUGAAUACGUUCCCGGGCCUU